rnacentral:rRNA from 1 species
AUGUCCCUCACAUGGUUAUGGGUUAUUGUCCAUUACAUAUUAUAUGCCCAUAUUGCCAUGUUCACUUUGCAUGAUAUGCCCUUUCCUAUGCCUUUGCCAUGCAUUUGUGACCCAUGCUUUGCUCUACACAUGAUGAUUGACUCUCAUACUUUUAUGUGUAUUUGCAAGCUUGGUGGAGAUAUCUCUUGUUGUUGCCAUGUUACUUUCGUGCACCAUUCCUAUGAUGAUACUUUCAUCUUGCUUUGUGUUCGUGCUUGCGAUAUGUCAUGCGCAUUCCCUAUGCCUUUUAUGUGCUCACAUGACAUGAUUGCCAUGAUUUACUCUAGUGUGUUGCAUCUUCGCUCCACUAGUUUGCACGACUUGAUCUCUAUGCUUGCUUAUGUUGCAUCACCAAUGACUCAUACUUGCUCAUUUCAUGCGGUUGAUGACAACCAUCUAUAUGCUUUGCACAUGAUUCAUAUUGCUUCUUGUCAUAUAUCACCAUGUGUUGCCUCUCUCAUGCUAAAUGACUUGCCAUGUAUUGAGUGCAACAAUGCUUAUAGUCUUGCUCAUGAGAUUGCCCCCAUAGCAUUCUCACGUAUGUUUGGAGAUUUUGACAUAUUCCUUGUGAAGCAUGCUUGCCUUACUUCUUUGCACCAUAUACCUUGUGCCAUGCAUGAAUAUCGCCAUUAUUGCAUCAUAUUAUUCAUGCACUUUUGCUUCUAA